GCCAGGCAUGGUGGCUCAUGCCUGUAAUCCCAGCACUUUGGGAGGCUGAGGUGGGUGGGUCACCUGAGGUCAGGACCAGCCUGGCCAACAUGGUGAAACCCCAUCUCUA
rfam:Pan troglodytes isolate Yerkes chimp pedigree #C0471 (Clint) chromosome 20, whole genome shotgun sequence.